rnacentral:rRNA from 1 species
AUAACAUGGGGAAACUCAUGCUAAUACCGGAUAGGGUCUUCUCUCGCAUGAGAGGAGACGGAAAGGUGGCGCAAGCUACCACUUACGGAUGGGCCUGCGGCGCAUUAGCUAGUUGGUGGGGUAACGGCCUACCAAGGCGACGAUGCGUAGCCGACCUGAGAGGGUGACCGGCCACACGUGGGACUGAGACACGGCCCAUACUCCUACGGGAGGCACCUGUAGGGAAUUUUCCACAAUGGACGAAACUCUGAUGGAGCAACGCCUCGUGAACAAUGAAGGUCUUCGGAUUGUAAAUUUCUGUUGUCAGAAACAAACAAG